rnacentral:rRNA from 1 species
UACGUAGGGGGCGAGCGUUGUCCGAAGUUACUGGGCGUAAAGCGCGCGUAGGCGGCUCUUUAAGUCUGGCGUGAAAGGUUCAGGGCUCAACCCGAACAGUGCGCUGGAGACUGGAGAGCUUGAGGAUGGGAGAGGGAAGCGGAAUUCCGGGUGUAGCGGUGAAAUGCGUAGAUAUCCGGAGGAACACCGAUGGCGAAGGCAGCUUCCUGGCCCGUAUCUGACGCUGAGGUGCGAAAGCGUGGGGAGCGAACAGG